rnacentral:rRNA from 1 species
CCUACGGGAGGCAGCAGUGGGGAAUUUUGGACAAUGGGCGCAAGCCUGAUCCAGCAAUGCCGCGUGCAGGAUGAAGGCCUUCGGGUUGUAAACUGCUUUUGUACGGAACGAAAAAGUCUGCCCUAAUACGGUGGGCCCAUGACGGUACCGUAAGAAUAAGCACCGGCUAACUACGUGCCAGCAGCCGCGGUAAUACGUAGGGUGCGAGCGUUAAUCGGAAUUACUGGGCGUAAAGCGUGCGCAGGCGGUUAUAUAAGACAGAUGUGAAAUCCCCGGGCUCAACCUGGGACCUGCAUUUGUGACUGUAUAGCUAGAGUACGGUAGAGGGGGAUGGAAUUCCGCGUGUAGCAGUGAAAUGCGUAGAUAUGCGGAGGAACACCGAUGGCGAAGGCAAUCCCCUGGACCUGUACUGACGCUCAUGCACGAAAGCGUGGGGAGCAAACAGGAUUAGAUACCCUGGUAGUCCCACGACCGUAACCGACUGUCACUAGUUGGUUGGUUCGUUCUACUGUAC